CUACGGGACGCACCAGUGGGGAAUAUUGGACAAUGGGCGAAAGCCUGAUCCAGCAAUGCCGCGUGAGUGAUGAAGGCCUUAGGGUUGUAAAGCUCUUUUACCAGGGAUGAUAAUGACAGUACCUGGAGAAUAAGCUCCGGCUAACUCCGUGCCAGCAGCCGCGGUAAUACGGAGGGAGCUAGCGUUGUUCGGAAUUACUGGGCGUAAAGCGUGCGUAGGCGGCUAUUCAAGUCAGAGGUGAAAGCCUGGAGCUCAACUCCAGAACUGCCUUUGAAACUAGAUAGCUAGAAUCUUGGAGAGGUGAGUGGAAUUCCGAGUGUAGAGGUGAAAUUCGUAGAUAUUCGGAAGAACACCAGUGGCGAAGGCGACUCACUGGACAAGUAUUGACGCUGAGGUACGAAAGCGUGGGGAGCAAACAGGAUUAGAUACCCCUGUAGUC
rnacentral:rRNA from 1 species